GACGUAGGGCGCGAGCGUUGUCCGGAUUUAUUGGGCGUAAAGAGCUCGUAGGCGGCUCAUUGCGUCAACCGUGAAAACCUGCCGCUCAACGGUAGGCUUGCGGUUGAUACGGGUGGGCUGGAGUUCGGUAGGGGAGACUGGAAUUCCUGGUGUAGCGGUGAAAUGCGCAGAUAUCUGGAGGAACACCGGUGGCGAAGGCGGCAUCCUGGACCGGCAUUGACGCUGAGGCGCGAAAGCCAGGGGAGCAAACGGG
rnacentral:rRNA from 1 species